ACUGUACAGGCAUUCAAUCGCUGCAAACAUCUAAGGGCCGUGGUAACAGUAAUUACACAUGAGUGAAAUGGACAGCUAAAUGUAAUCAAACCUGAGGAGCUGGUUGAGAAGAACACAUGAUGCUUACUCCAAAUUGUGGCUACUCUGGAAGGCCUCAAGAUAUUUUUCCUCUCUUAUCCUGAAUCUGACUCCUCUGACUUGAAGGUGCAAACGUCAUGGAGAGCAGCAAGAUGUCCACUGCUGGGAUCCUUGGUGACCAAUAGCUAUGACUUGUGAAUCCACUAGACAAUUAUUUUUUCUAUAGCAAUAUUAACCAAGGCUGCAUAUACCACAGAGGAAGAUCCUGUAGAUGUUAUGAGCCCAGGGAGAAUUAGGGCCCAGAACAGGUUGGAUGUAUUGUAUAAUGUUAAUAGGUAAUAAGACCUUGAGAUCUCCUCUGAACAUGUCCCACACAAGUGUGUGGGGAAAUAACCUAAAAAACAUGUCAAACAAGCAGAGUUCUGUUCUAGAUAAUGGAGGCCCAAUGCUCUGUAUGCCCCUUAAAUCAGCUAUUACAAAACACACAUUGAAGUGAAUGAGUCAUCCAUUCACUGGGUUCUAAGAACCCCAGUGUGGUCUUUGCUUCAUAGCUGUACUCUACCAUAACCAAAAGUGGAGACGUCUCAAGUUGAGACUCCUUUCUAUUGCCUUAAAGGAUGUUAUCUGCUUUAAAAAAAUAAAAAAUUAAGGGAAUUUUGAGUUAACAGAUGUUUUACCUUCAGACAAGAAACCCCAUCAGUUCACUACACUGACCCAUUGCCUUUACCAGUCACUGUGUAAUAGUUCAC